CACGUAGGGUGCGAGCGUUUGUCCGGAAUUAUUGGGCGUAAAGAGCUCGUAGGCGGUGUGUCGCGUCGGCCGUGAAAACCUGCAGCUCAACUGCAGGCUUGCGGUCGAUACGGGCAGACUGGAGGUAUGCAGGGGAGAACGGAAUUCCUGGUGUAGCGGUGAAAUGCGCAGAUAUCAGGAGGAACACCGGUGGCGAAGGCGGCCUGCUGGGCUGUUGCUGACGCUGAGGCGCGACAGCGUGGGGAGCAAACAGG
rnacentral:rRNA from 1 species